rnacentral:rRNA from 1 species
GUGGAGACAUGUCAGCCGCAAGGCAGUUGUGAAGGUGCUGCAUGGUUGUCGUCAGCUCGUGCCGUGAGGUGUCGGCUUAAGUGCCAUAACGAGCGCAACCCUUAUCGAUAGUUACCAUCAGGUUAUGCUGGGGACUCUGUCGAGACUGCCGUCGUAAGAUGUGAGGAAGGUGGGGAUGACGUCAAAUCAGCACGGCCCUUACGUCCGGGGCUACACACGUGUUACAAUGGGGGGUACAGAAGGCAGCUACACGGCGACGUGAUGCUAAUCCCGAAAGCCUCUCUCAGUUCGGAUUGGAGUCUGCAACCCGACUCCAUGAAGCUGGAUUCGCUAGUAAUCGCGCAUCAGCCACGGCGCGGUGAAUACGUUCCCGGGCCUUGUACACACCGCCCGUCAAGCCAUGAAAGCCGGGGGUACCUGAAGUGCGUAACCGCAAGGAGCGCCCUAGGGUAAAACUGGUGAUUGGGGCUAAGUCGUAACAAGGUAGCCGUACCGGAAGGUGCGGCUGGAUCACCUC